rnacentral:rRNA from 1 species
CAUCGCCUCUUGAUAUACAAACAUGAGAGGUCCCGCCUGCCCUGUGACCACAAGUUUAACGGCCGCGGUAUUUUGACCGUGCAAAGGUAGCGUAAUCACUUGUCUUUUAAAUGAAGACCUGUAUGAAUGGCAUAACGAGGGCUAAGCUGUCUCCUCUCCCCAGUCAGUGAAAUUGAUCUUUCCGUGCAGAAGCGGGAAUGAAAACAUAAGACGAGAAGACCCUAUGGAGCUUAAGACACAAGGCAGCAAACGUUAAGACCCCUGAGCAAACAGCUACAACCAAGUUAGCACCUGCCCCUUUGUCUUUGGUUGGGGCGACCGCGGGGGAACGAAAAUCCCCCACGUGGAACAGGACCUGCUCCUCAAGACCAGAGCCUCAACUCUAGUAAACAGAACAUCUGACCAUAAAGAUCCGGUAGUACCGAUCAACGGACCGAGUUACCCUAGGGAUAACAGCGCAAUCCCCUUUCAGAGCCCAUAUCGACAAGGGGGUUUACGACCUCGAUGUUGGAUCAGGACCCCCUAAUGGUGCAGCCGCUAUUAAGGGUUCGUUUGUUCAACGAUUAAAGUCCUACGUGAUCUGA